AUAGAAAGUUACUUCGGUACAUCGGUGACAGGUGGUGCAUGGUUGUCGUCAGCUCGUGUCGUGAGAUGUUGGGUUAAGUCCCGCAACGAGCGCAACCCCUAUUGUUAGUUGCCAUCAUUCAGUUGGGCACUCUAGCGAGACUGCCGGUAAUAACCGGAGGAAGGUGGGGAUGACGUCAAAUCAUCAUGCCCCUUAUGACCUGGGCUACACACGUGCUACAAUGGUUGGUACAACGAGUUGCGAGUCGGUGACGGCGAGCUAAUCUCUUAAAGCCAAUCUCAGUUCGGAUUGUAGGCUGCAACUCGCCUACAUGAAGUCGGAAUCGCUAGUAAUCGCGGAUCAGCACGCCGCGGUGAAUACGUUCCCGGGCCUU
rnacentral:rRNA from 1 species